GCCCGCCCAUAGCUCCUUCGACGGCGCCGCCUAGGAACGCGGAGAAAAUAUGACAAAGGAACGGCCAAAAAUAAAAAGAAAGACCUUUCUUUUGAAAAAACAAACAAAAAAAGGAAUGCAACACGAGGACUUCCCAGGAGGUCACCCAUCCUAGUACUACUCUCGCCCAAGCACGCUUAACUUCAAAGUUCUGAUGGGAUCCGGUGCUUUAGUGCUGGUAUGAUCGCAUCCGACAUACCGUGCGUUCUCCUCCCCUUUAUGCCCGCGCCUCCGUGUACGGCCCGCCCAUAGCUCCUUCGACGGCGCCGCCUAGGAACGCGGAGAAAAUAUGACAAAGGAACGGCCAAAAAUAAAAAGAAAGACCUUUCUUUUGAAAAAACAAACAAAAAAAGGAAUGCAACACGAGGACUUCCCAGGAGGUCACCCAUCCUAGUACUACUGUCGCCCAAGCACGCUUAAGUUCGGAGUUCUGAUGGGAUCCGGUGCUUUAGUGCUGGUAUGAUCGCAUCCGACAUGCCGUGCGUUCUCCUCCCCUUUAUGCCCGCGCCUCCGUGUACGGCCCGCCCAUAGCUCCUUCGUCGGCGCCGCCUAGGAACGCGGAGAAAAUAUGACAAAGGAACGGCCAAAAAUAAAAAGAAAGACCUUUCUUUUGAAAAAACAAACGCCUCCGUGUACGGCCCGCCCAUAGCUCCUUCGACGGCGCCGCCUAGGAACGCGGAGAAAAUAUGACAAAGGAACGGCCAAAAAUAAAAAGAAAGACCUUUCUUUUGAAAAAACAAACAAAAAAAAGGAAUGCAACACGAGGACUUCCCAGGAGGUCACCCAUCCUAGUACUACUCUCGCCCAAGCACGCUUAACUUCGGAGUUCUGAUGGGAUCCGGUGCUUUAGUGCUGGUAUGAUCGCAUCCGACAUACCGUGCGUUCUCCUCCCCUUUAUGCCCGCCCCUCCGUGUACGGCCCGCCCAUAGCUCUUUCGACGGCGCCGCCUAGGAACGCGGAGAAAAUAUGACAAAGGAACGGCCAAAAAUAAAAAGAAAGACCUUUCUUUUGAAAAAACAAACGCCUCCGUGUACGGCCCGCCCAUAGCUCCUUCGACGGCGCCGCCUAGGAACGCGGAGAAAAUAUGACAAAGGAACGGCCAAAAAUAAAAAGAAAGACCUUUCUUUUGAAAAAACAAACAAAAAAAAGGAAUGCAACACGAGGACUUCCCAGGAGGUCACCCAUCCUAGUACUACUCUCGCCCAAGCACGCUUAACUUCGGAGUUCUGAUGGGAUCCGGUGCUUUAGUGCUGGUAUGAUCGCAUCCGACAUACCGUGCGUUCUCCUCCCCUUUAUGCCCGCGCCUCCGUGUACGGCCCGCCCAUAGCUCCUUCGACGGCGCCGCCUAGGAACGCGGAGAAAAUAUGACAAAGGAACGGCCAAAAAUAAAAAGAAAGACCUUUCUUUUGAAAAAACAAACAAAAAAAAGGAAUGCAACACGAGGACUUCCCAGGAGGUCACCCAUCCUAGUACUACUCUCGCCCAAGCACGCUUAACUUCGGAGUUCUGAUGGGAUCCGGUGCUUUAGUGCUGGUAUGAUCGCAUCCGACAUACCGUGCGUUCUCCUCCCCUUUAUGCCCGCGCCUCCGUGUACGGCCCGCCCAUAGCUCCUUCGACGGCGCCGCCUAGGAACGCGGAGAAAAUAUGACAAAGGAACGGGCAAAAAUAAAAAGAAAGACCUUUCUUUUGAAAAAACAAACAAAAAAAAGGAAUGCAACACGAGGACUUCCCAGGAGGUCACCCAUCCUAGUACUACUCUCGCCCAAGCACGCUUAACUUCGGAGUUCUGAUGGGAUCCGGUGCUUUAGUGCUGGUAUGAUCGCAUCCGACAUACCGUGCGUUCUCCUCCCCUUUAUGCCCGCGCCUCCGUGUACGGGCCGUCCAUAGCUCCUUCGACGGCGCCGCCUAUGAACGCGGAGAAAAUAUGACAAAGGAACGGCCAACAAUCAUACGAAAGACCUUUCUUUUGAAAAAACAAACAAAAAAAAGGAAUGCGACACGAGGACUUCCCAGGAGGUCACCCAUCCUAGUACUACUCUCGCCCAAGCACGCUUAACUUCGGAGUUCUGAUGGGAUCCGGUGCUUUAGUGCUAGUAUGAUCGCAUUCGACAUACCGUGCGUUCUCCUCCCCUUUAUGCCCGCGCCUCCGUGUACGGCCCGCCCAUAGCUCCUUCGACGGCGCCGCCUAGGAACGCGGAGAAAAUAUGACAAAGGAACGGCCAAAAAUAAAAAGAAAGACCUUUCUUUUGAAAAAACAAACAAAUAAAAGGAAUGCAACACGAGGACUUCCCAGGAGGUCACCCAUCCUAGUACUACUCUCGCCCAAGCACGCUUAACUUCGGAGUUCUGAUGGGAUCCGGUGCUUUAGUGCUGGUAUGAUCGCAUCCGACAUACCGUGCGUUCUCCUCCCCUUUAUGCCCGCGCCUCCGUGUACGGCCCGCCCAUAGCUCCUUCGACGGCGCCGCCUAGGAACGCGGAGAAAAUAUGACAAAGGAACGGCCAAAAAUAAAAAGAAAGACCUUUCUUUUGAAAAAACAAACGCCUCCGUGUACGGCCCGCCCAUAGCUCCUUCGACGGCGCCGCCUAGGAACGCGGAGAAAAUAUGACAAAGGAACGGCCAAAAAUAAAAAGAAAGACCUUUCUUUUGAAAAAACAAACAAAAAAAAGGAAUGCAACACGAGGACUUCCCAGGAGGUCACCCAUCCUAGUACUACUCUCGCCCAAGCACGCUUAACUUCGGAGUUCUGAUGGGAUCCGGUGCUUUAGUGCUGGUAUGAUCGCAUCCGACAUACCGUGCGUUCUCCUCCCCUUUAUGCCCGCGCCUCCGUGUACGGCCCGCCCAUAGCUCCUUCGACGGCGCCGCCUAGGAACGCGGAGAAAAUAUGACAAAGGAACGGCCAAAAAUAAAAAGAAAGACCUUUCUUUUGAAAAAACAAACAAAUAAAAGGAAUGCAACACGAGGACUUCCCAGGAGGUCACCCAUCCUAGUACUACUCUCGCCCAAGCACGCUUAACUUCGGAGUUCUGAUGGGAUCCGGUGCUUUAGUGCUGGUAUGAUCGCAUCCGACAUACCGUGCGUUCUCCUCCCCUUUAUGCCCGCGCCUCCGUGUACGGCCCGCCCAUAGCUCCUUCGACGGCGCCGCCUAGGAACGCGGAGAAAAUAUGACAAAGGAACGGCCAAAAAUAAAAAGAAAGACCUUUCUUUUGAAAAAACAAACAAAUAAAAGGAAUGCAACACGAGGACUUCCCAGGAGGUCACCCAUCCUAGUACUACUCUCGCCCAAGCACGCUUAACUUCGGAGUUCUGAUGGGAUCCGGUGCUUUAGUGCUGGUAUGAUCGCAUCCGACAUACCGUGCGUUCUCCUCCCCUUUAUGCCCGCGCCUCCGUGUACGGCCCGCCCAUAGCUCCUUCGACGGCGCCGCCUUGGAACGCGGAGAAAAUAUGACAAAGGAACGGCCAAAAAUAAAAAGAAAGACCUUUCUUUUGAAAAAACAAACAAAUAAAAGGAAUGCAACACGAGGACUUCCCAGGAGGUCACCCAUCCUAGUACUACUCUCGCCCAAGCACGCUUAACUUCGGAGUUCUGAUGGGAUCCGGUGCUUUAGUGCUGGUAUGAUCGCAUCCGACAUACCGUGCGUUCUCCUCCCCUUUAUGCCCGCGCCUCCGUGUACGGCCCGCCCAUAGCUCCUUCGACGGCGCCGCCUAGGAACGCGGAGAAAAUAUGACAAAGGAACGGCCAAAAAUAAAAAGAAAGACCUUUCUUUUGAAAAAACAAACAAAUAAAAGGAAUGCAACACGAGGACUUCCCAGGAGGUCACCCAUCCUAGUACUACUCUCGCCCAAGCACGCUUAACUUCGGAGUUCUGAUGGGAUCCGGUGCUUUAGUGCUGGUAUGAUCGCAUUCGACAUACCGUGCGUUCUCCUCCCCUUUAUGCCCGCGCCUCCGUGUACGGGCCGCCCAUAGCUCCUUCGACGGCGCCGCCUAGGAACGCGGAGAAAAUAUGACAAAGGAACGGCCAAAAAUAAAAAGAAAGACCUGUUCUUUUGAAAAAACAAACUAAAAAAAGGAAUGCAGCACGAGGACUUCCCAGGAGGUCACCCAUCCUAAUACUACUCUCGCCCAAGCACGCUUAACUUCGGAGUUCUGAUGGGAUCCGGAGCUUUAGUGUUGGUAUGAUCGCAUCCGACAUACCGUGCGUUCUCCUCCCCUUUAUGCACCCGCCUCCGUGUACGGCCCGCCCAUAGCUCCUUCGACGGCGCCGCCUAGGAACGCGGAGAAAAUAUGACAAAGGAACGGCCAAAAAUAAAAAGAAAGACCUUUCUUUUGAAAAAACAAACAAAAAAAAGGAAUGCAACACGAGGACUUCCCAGGAGGUCACCCAUCCUAGUACUACUCUCGCCCAAGCACGCUUAACUUCGGAGUUCUGAUGGGAUCCGGUGCUUUAGUGCUGGUAUGAUCGCAUCCGACAUACCGUGCGUUCUCCUCCCCUUUAUGCCCGCGCCUCCGUGUACGGCCCGCCCAUAGCUCCUUCGACGGCGCCGCCUAGGAACGCGGAGAAAAUAUGACAAAGGAACGGCCAAAAAUAAAAAGAAAGACCUUUCUUUUGAAAAAACAAACAAAAAAAAGGAAUGCAACACGAGGACUUCCCAGGAGGUCACCCAUCCUAGUACUACUCUCGCCCAAGCACGCUUAACUUCGGAGUUCUGAUGGGAUCCGGUGCUUUAGUGCUGGUAUGAUCGCAUCCGACAUACCGUGCGUUCUCCUCCCCUUUAUGCCCGCGCCUCCGUGUACGGCCCGCCCAUAGCUCCUUCGACGGCGCCGCCUAGGAACGCGGAGAAAAUAUGACAAAGGAACGGCCAAAAAUAAAAAGAAAGACCUUUCUUUUGAAAAAACAAACAAAUAAAAGGAAUGCAACACGAGGACUUCCCAGGAGGUCACCCAUCCUAGUACUACUCUCGCCCAAGCACGCUUAACUUCGGAGUUCUGAUGGGAUCCGGUGCUUUAGUGCUGGUAUGAUCGCAUCCGACAUACCGUGCGUUCUCCUCCCCUUUAUGCCCGCGCCUCCGUGUACGGCCCGCCCAUAGCUCCUUCGACGGCGCCGCCUAGGAACGCGGAGAAAAUAUGACAAAGGAACGGCCAAAAAUAAAAAGAAAGACCUUUCUUUUGAAAAAACAAACGCCUCCGUGUACGGCCCGCCCAUAGCUCCUUCGACGGCGCCGCCUAGGAACGCGGAGAAAAUAUGACAAAGGAACGGCCAAAAAUAAAAAGAAAGACCUUUCUUUUGAAAAAACAAACAAAAAAAAGGAAUGCAACACGAGGACUUCCCAGGAGGUCACCCAUCCUAGUACUACUCUCGCCCAAGCACGCUUAACUUCGGAGUUCUGAUGGGAUCCGGUGCUUUAGUGCUGGUAUGAUCGCAUCCGACAUACCGAGCGUUCUCCUCCCCUUUAUGCCCGCGCCUCCGUGUACGGCCCGCCCAUAGCUCCUUCGACGGCGCCGCCUAGGAACGCGGAGAAAAUAUGACAAAGGAACGGCCAAAAAUAAAAAGAAAGACCUUUCUUUUGAAAAAACAAACGCCUCCGUGUACGGCCCGCCCAUAGCUCCUUCGACGGCGCCGCCUAGGAACGCGGAGAAAAUAUGACAAAGGAACGGCCAAAAAUAAAAAGAAAGACCUUUCUUUUGAAAAAACAAACAAAAAAAAGGAAUGCAACACGAGGACUUCCCAGGAGGUCACCCAUCCUAGUACUACUCUCGCCCAAGCACGCUUAACUUCGGAGUUCUGAUGGGAUCCGGUGCUUUAGUGCUGGUAUGAUCGCAUCCGACAUACCGUGCGUUCUCCUCCCCUUUAUGCCCGCGCCUCCGUGUACGGCCCGCCCAUAGCUCCUUCGACGGCGCCGCCUAGGAACGCGGAGAAAAUAUGACAAAGGAACGGCCAAAAAUAAAAAGAAAGACCUUUCUUUUGAAAAAACAAACACCUAAAAGGAAUGCAACACGAGGACUUCCCAGGAGGUCACCCGUCAUCGUAGUACUCUCGCCCAAGCACGCUUAGCUUCGGAGUUCUGAUGAGAUCCGGUGCUUUAGUGCUGGUAUGAUCGCAUCCGACAUACCGUGAGUUCUCCUCCCCUUUAUGCCCGUGCCUCCAUGUACCGCCCGCCCAUAGCUCCUUCGACGGGACGCUCCUAGGAACGCGGAGAAAAUAUUACAAAGGAGCGCCCAAAAAUAAAAAGAAAGACCUUUCUUUUGAAAAAACAAACGCCUCCGUGUACGGCCCGCCCAUAGCUCCUUCGACGGCGCCGCCUAGGAACGCGGAGAAAAUAUGACAAAGGAACGGCCAAAAAUAAAAAGAAAGACCUUUCUUUUGAAAAAACAAACAAAAAAAAGGAAUGCAACACGCGGACUUCCCAGGAGGUCACCCAUCCUAGUACUACUCUCGCCCAAGCACGCUUAAGUUCGGAGUUCUGAUGGGAUCCGGUUCUUUAGUGCUGGCAUGCUCGCAUCAGGCAUGCCGCGCGUUCUCCUCCCCGGUAGGCACGCAUCUUAGUGUACGUCUCGCCCAUAGCUCCUUCGUUGGGAGCUCCUAGGAGCUCGGAGAAAAUAUGGCAAAGGAACGGCCAUAAAUAAAAAGAAAGACCUUUCUUCUGAAAAAACAAACGCCUCCGUGUACGGCCCGCCCAUAGCUCCUUCGACGGCGCCGCCUAGGAACGCGGAGAAAAUAUGACAAAGGAACGGCCAAAAAUAAAAAGAAAGACCUUUCUUUUGAAAAAACAAACAAAUAAAAGGAAUGCAACACGAGGACUUCCCAGGAGGUCACCCAUCCUAGUACUACUCUCGCCCAAGCACGCUUAACUUCGGAGUUCUGAUGGGAUCCGGUGCUUUAGUGCUGGUAUGAUCGCAUCCGACAUACCGUGCGUUCUCCUCCCCUUUAUGCCCGCGCCUCCGUGUACGGCCCGCCCAUAGCUCCUUCGACGGCGCCGCCUAGGAACGCGGAGAAGGAGUAUGACAAAGGAACGGCCAAAAAUAAAAAGAAAGACCUUUCUUUUGAAAAAACAAACAAAUAAAAGGAAUGCAACACGAGGACUUCCCAGGAGGUCACCCAUCCUAGUACUACUCUCGCCCAAGCACGCUUAACUUCGGAGUUCUGAUGGGAUCCGGUGCUUUAGUGCUGGUAUGAUCGCAUUCGACAUACCGGGCGUACUCCUCCCCUUUAUGCCCGCGCCUCCGUGUACGGCCCGCCCAUAGCUCCUUCGACGGCGCCGCCUAGGAACGCGGAGAAAAUAUGACAAAGGAACGGCCAAAAAUAAAAAGAAAGACCUUUCUUUUGAAAAAACAAACGAAUCCGAGGAAUGCAAGACGAGGACUUCCCAGGAGGUCACCCAUCCUAGUACUACUCUCGCCCAAGCACGCUUAAGUUCGGAGUUCUGAUGGGAUCCGGUGCUUUAGUGCUGGUAUGAUCGCGUCCGACGUACCGUGCGUUCUCCUCCCCUUGAUGCCCGUGCCUCCGUGUACGGCCCGCCCAUAGCUCCUUCGACGGCGCCGUCNNNNNNNNNNNNNNNNNNNNNNNNNNNNNNNNNNNNNNNNNNNNNNNNNNNNNNNNNNNNNNNNNNNNNNNNNNNNNNNNNNNNNNNNNNNNNNNNNNNNAACACGAGGACUUCCCAAGAGGUCACCCAUCCUAGUACUACUCUCGCCCAAGCACGCUUAACUUCGGAGUUCUGAUGGGAUCCGGUGCUUUAGUGCUGGUAUGAUCGCAUCCGACAUACCGUGCGUUCUCCUCCCCUUUAUGCCCGCGCCUCCGUGUACGGCCCGCCCAUAGCUCCUUCGACGGCGCCGCCUAGGAACGCGGAGAAAAUAUGACAAAGGAACGGCCAAAAAUAAAAAGAAAGACCUUUCUUUUGAAAAAACAAACAAAAAAAAGGAAUGCAACACGAGGACUUCCCAGGAGGUCACCCAUCCUAGUACUACUCUCGCCCAAGCACGCUUAACUUCGGAGUUCUGAUGGGAUCCGGUGCUUUAGUGCUGGUAUGAUCGCAUCCGACAUACCGUGCGUUCUCCUCCCCUUUAUGCCCGCGCCUCCGUGUACGGCCCGCCCAUAGCUCCUUCGACGGCGCCGCCUAGGAACGCGGAGAAAAUAUGACAAAGGAACGGCCAAAAAUAAAAAGAAAGACCUUUCUUUUGAAAAAACAAACAAAAAAAAGGAAUGCAACACGAGGACUUCCCAGGAGGUCACCCAUCCUAGUACUACUCUCGCCCAAGCACGCUUAACUUCGGAGUUCUGAUGGGAUCCGGUGCUUUAGUGCUGGUAUGAUCGCAUCCGACAUACCAUGCGUUCUCCUCCCCUUUAUGCCCGCGCCUCCGUGUACGGCCCGCCCAUAGCUCCUUCGACGGCGCCGCCUAGGAACGCGGAGAAAAUAUGACAAAGGAAUGGCCAAAAAUAAAAAGAAAGACCUUUCUUUUGAAAAAACAAACGCCUCCGUGUACGGCCCGCCCAUAGCUCCAUCGACGGCGCCGCCUAGGAACGCGGAGAAAAUAUGACAAAGGAACGGCCAAAAAUAAAAAGAAAGACCUUUCUUUUGAAAAAAACAAACAAAAAAAAGGAAUGCAACGCGAGGACUUCCCAGGAGGUCACCCAUCCUAGUACUACUCUCGCCCAAGCACGCUUAACUUCGGAGUUCUGAUGGGAUCCGGUGCUUUAGUGCUGGUAUGAUCGCAUCCGACAUACCGUGCGUUCUCCUCCCCUUUAUGCCCGCGCCUCCGUGUACGGCCCGCCCAUAGCUCCUUCGACGGCGCCGCCUAGGAACGCGGAGAAAAUAUGACAAAGGAACGGCCAAAAAUAAAAAGAAAGACCUUUCUUUUGAAAAAACAAACAAAAAAAAGGAAUGCAACACGAGGACUUCCCAGGAGGUCACCCAUCCUAGUACUACUCUCGCCCAAGCACGCUUAACUUCGGAGUUCUGAUGGGAUCCGGUGCUUUAGUGCUGGUAUGAUCGCAUCCGACAUACCGUGCGUUCUCCUCCCCUUUAUGCCCGCGCCUCCGUGUACGGCCCGCCCAUAGCUCCUUCGACGGCGCCGCCUAGGAACGCGGAGAAUAUAUGACAAAGGAACGGCCAAAAAUAAAAAGAAAGACCUUUCUUUUGAAAAAACAAACGCCUCCGUGUACGGCCCGUCCAUAGCUCCUUCGACGGUGCCGCCUAGGAACGCGGAGAAAAUAUGACAACGGAACGGCCAAAAAUAAAAAGAAGGACCUUUCUUUUGAAAAUACAUAAUCAAUACAAAAAGGAAUGCAACACGAGGACUUCCCAGGAGGUCACCCAUCCUAGUACUACUCUCGCCCAAGCACGCUUAACUUCGGAGUUCUGAUGGGAUCCGGUGCUUUAGUGCUGGUAUGAUCGCAUCCGACAUACCGUGCGUUCUCCUCCCCUUUAUGCCCGCGCCUCCGUGUACGGCCCGCCCAUAGCUCCUUCGACGGCGCCGCCUAGGAACGCGGAGAAAAUAUGACAAAGGAACGGCCAAAAAUAAAAAGAAAGACCUUUCUUUUGAAAAAACAAACAAAUAAAAGGAAUGCAACACGAGGACUUCCCAGGAGGUCACCCAUCCUAGUACUACUCUCGCCCAAGCACGCUUAACUUCGGAGUUCUGAUGGGAUCCGGUGCUUUAGUGCUGGUAUGAUCGCAUCCGACAUACCGUGCGUUCUCCUCCCCUUUAUGCCCGCGCCUCCGUGUACGGCCCGCCCAUAGCUCCUUCGACGGCGCCGCCUAGGAACGCGGAGAAAAUAUGACAAAGGAACGGCCAAAAAUAAAAAGAAAGACCUUUCUUUUGAAAAAACAAACAAAAAAAAAGGAAUGCAACACGAGGACUUCCCAGGAGGUCACCCAUCCUAGUACUACUCUCGCCCAAGCACGCUUAACUUCGGAGUUCUGAUGGGAUCCGGUGCUUUAGUGCUGGUAUGAUCGCAUCGGACAUACCGUGCGUUCUCCUCCCCUUUAUGCCCGCGCCUCCGUGUACGGCCCGCCCAUAGCUCCUUCGACGGCGCCGCCUAGGAACGCGGAGAAAAUAUGACAAAGGAACGGCCAAAAAUAAAAAGAAAGACCUUUCUUUUGAAAAAACAAACGCCUCAGUGUACGGCCCGCCCAUAGCUCCUUCGACGGCGCCGCCUAGGAACGCGGAGAAAAUAUGACAAAGGAACGGCCAAAAAUAAAAAGAAAGACCUUUCUUUUGAAAAAACAAACAAAAAAAAGGAAUGCAACACGAGGACUUCCCAGGAGGUCACCCAUCCUAGUACUACUCUCGCCCAAGCACGCUUAACUUCGGAGUUCUGAUGGGAUCCGGUGCUUUAGUGCUGGUAUGAUCGCAUCCGACAUACCGUGCGUUCUCCUCCCCUUUAUGCCCGCGCCUCCGUGUACGGCCCGCCCAUAGCUCCUUCGACGGCGCCGCCUAGGAACGCGGAGAAAAUAUGACAAAGGAACGGCCAAAAAUAAAAAGAAAGACCUUUCUUUUGAAAAAACAAACGCCUCCGUGUACGGCCCGCCCAUAGCUCCUUCGACGGCGCCGCCUAGGAACGCGGAGAAAAUAUGACAAAGGAACGGCCAAAAAUAAAAAGAAAGACCUUUCUUUUGAAAAAACAAACAAAAAAAAGGAAUGCAACACGAGGACUUCCCAGGAGGUCACCCAUCCUAGUACUACUCUCGCCCAAGCACGCUUAACUUCGGAGUUCUGAUGGGAUCCGGUGCUUUAGUGCUGGUAUGAUCGCAUCCGACAUACCGUGCGUUCUCCUCCCCUUUAUGCCCGCGCCUCCGUGUACGGCCCGCCCAUAGCUCCUUCGACGGCGCCGCCUAGGAACGCGGAGAAAAUAUGACAAAGGAACGGCCAAAAAUAAAAAGAAAGACCUUUCUUUUGAAAAAACAAACAAAAAAAAGGAAUGCAACACGAGGACUUCCCAGGAGGUCACCCAUCCUAGUACUACUCUCGCCCAAGCACGCUUAACUUCGGAGUUCUGAUGGGAUCCGGUGCUUUAGUGCUGGUAUGAUCGCAUCCGACAUACCGUGCGUUCUCCUCCCCUUUAUGCCCGCGCCUCCGUGUACGGCCCGCCCAUAGCUCCUUCGACGGCGCCGCCUAGGAACGCGGAGAAAAUAUGACAAAGGAACGGCCAAAAAUAAAAAGAAAGACCUUUCUUUUGAAAAAACAAACAAAAAAAAGGAAUGCAACACGAGGACUUCCCAGGAGGUCACCCAUCCUAGUACUACUCUCGCCCAAGCACGCUUAACUUCGGAGUUCUGAUGGGAUCCGGUGCUUUAGUGCUGGUAUGAUCGCAUCCGACAUACCGUGCGUUCUCCUCCCCUUUAUGCCCGCGCCUCCGUGUACGGCCCGCCCAUAGCUCCUUCGACGGCGCCGCCUAGGAACGCGGAGAAAAUAUGACAAAGGAACGGCCAAAAAAAAAAGAAAGACCUUUCUUUUGAAAAAACAAACUAAAAAAAGGAAUGCAACACGAGGACUUCCCAUGAGGUCACCCAUCCUAGUACUACUCUCGCCCAAGCACGCUUAACUUCGGAGUUCUGAUGGGAUCCGGUGCUUUAGUGCUGGUAUGAUCGCAUCCGACAUACCGUGCGUUCUCCUCCCCUUUAUGCCCGCGCCUCCGUGUACGGCCCGCCCAUAGCUCCUUCGACGGCGCCGCCUAGGAACGCGGAGAAAAUAUGACAAAGGAACGGCCAAAAAUAAAAAGAAAGACCUUUCUUUUGAAAAAACAAACAAAUAAAAGGAAUGCAACACGAGGACUUCCCAGGAGGUCACCCAUCCUAGUACUACUCUCGCCCAAGCACGCUUAACUUCGGAGUUCUGAUGGGAUCCGGUGCUUUAGUGCUGGUAUGAUCGCAUCCGACAUACCGUGCGUUCUCCUCCCCUUUAUGCCCGCGCCUCCGUGUACGGCCCGCCCAUAGCUCCUUCGACGGCGCCGCCUAGGAACGCGGAGAAAAUAUGACAAAGGAACGGCCAAAAAUACAAAGAAAGACCUUUCUUUUGAAAAAACAAACAAAUAACAGGAAUGCAACACGAGGACUUCCCAGGAGGUCACCCAUCCUAGUACUACUCUCGCCCAAGCACGCUUAACUUCGGAGUUCUGAUGGGAUCCGGUGCUUUAGUGCUGGUAUGAUCGCAUCCGACAUACCGUGCGUUCUCCUCCCCUUUAUGCCCGCGCCUCCGUGUACGGUCCGACCAUAGCUCCUUCGACGGCGCCGCCUAGGAACGCGGAGAAAAUAUGACAAAGGAACGGCCAAACAUCAAAAGAAAGACCUGUCUUCUGACAGCACGAACCAACAAAAGGAAUGCAACACGAGGACUUCCCAGGAGGUCACCCAUCCUAGUACUACUCUCGCCCAAGCACGCUUAACUUCGGAGUUCUGAUGGGAUCCGGUGCUUUAGUGCUGGUAUGAUCGCAUCCGACAUACCGUGCGUUCUCCUCCCCUUUAUGCCCGCGCCUCCGUGUACGGCCCGCCCAUAGCUCCUUCGACGGCGCCGCCUAGGAACGCGGAGAAAAUAUGACAAAGGAACGGCCAAAAAUAAAAAGAAAGACCUUUCUUUUGAAAAAACAAACAAAAAAAAGGAAUGCAACACGAGGACUUCCCAGGAGGUCACCCAUCCUAGUACUACUCUCGCCCAAGCACGCUUAACUUCGGAGUUCUGAUGGGAUCCGGUGCUUUAGUGCUGGUAUGAUCGCAUCCGACAUACCGUGCGUUCUCCUCCCCUUUAUGCCCGCGCCUCCGUGUACGGCCCGCCCAUAGCUCCUUCGACGGCGCCGCCUAGGAACGCGGAGAAAAUAUGACAAAGGAACGGCCAAAAAUAAAAAGAAAGACCUUUCUUUUGAAAAAACAAACAAAAAAAAGGAAUGCAACACGAGGACUUUCCAGGAGGUCACCCAUCCUAGUACUACUCUCGCCCAAGCACGCUUAACUUCGGAGUUCUGAUGGGAUCUGGUGCUUUAGUGCUGUUAUGAUCGCAUCCGACAUACCGUGCGUUCUCGUCCCCUUUAUGCCCGCGCCUCCGUGUACGGCCCGCCCAUAGCUCCUUCGACGGCGCCGCCUAGGAACGCGGAGAAAAUAUGACAAAGGAACGGCCAAAAAUAAAAAGAAAGACUUUUCUUUUGAAAAAACAAACAAAAAAAAGGAAUGCAACACGAGGACUUCCCAGGAGGUCACCCAUCCUAGUACUACUCUCGCCCAAGCACGCUUAACUUCGGAGUUCUGAUGGGAUCCGGUGCUUUAGUGCUGGUAUGAUCGCAUCCGACAUACCGUGCGUUCUCCUCCCCUUUAUGCCCGCGCCUCCGUGUACGGCCCGCCCAUAGCUCCUUCGACGGCGCCGCCUAGGAACGCGGAGAAAAUAUGACAAAGGAACGGCCAAAAAUAAAAAGAAAGACCUUUCUUUUGAAAAAACAAACAAAUAAAAGGAAUGCAACACGAGGACUUCCCAGGAGGUCACCCAUCCUAGUACUACUCUCGCCCAAGCACGCUUAACUUCGGAGUUCUGAUGGGAUCCGGUGCUUUAGUGCUGGUAU
rnacentral:lncRNA from 1 species